UUAAGCGACUAAGCGUACACGGUGGAUGCCCUGGCAGUCAGAGGCGAUGAAGGACGUGCUAAUCUGCGAUAAGCGUCGGUAAGGUGAUAUGAACCGUUAUAACCGGCGAUUUCCGAAUGGGGAAACCCAGUGUGUUUCGACACACUAUCAUUAACUGAAUCCAUAGGUUAAUGAGGCGAACCGGGGGAACUGAAACAUCUAAGUACCCCGAGGAAAAGAAAUCAACCGAGAUUCCCCCAGUAGCGGCGAGCGAACGGGGAGGAGCCCAGAGCCUGAAUCAGUGUGUGUGUUAGUGGAAGCGUCUGGAAAGGCGCGCGAUACAGGGUGACAGCCCCGUACACAAAAAUGCACAUGCUGUGAGCUCGAUGAGUAGGGCGGGACACGUGGUAUCCUGUCUGAAUAUGGGGGGACCAUCCUCCAAGGCUAAAUACUCCUGACUGACCGAUAGUGAACCAGUACCGUGAGGGAAAGGCGAAAAGAACCCCGGCGAGGGGAGUGAAAAAGAACCUGAAACCGUGUACGUACAAGCAGUGGGAGCACGCUUAGGCGUGUGACUGCGUACCUUUUGUAUAAUGGGUCAGCGACUUAUAUUCUGUAGCAAGGUUAACCGAAUAGGGGAGCCGAAGGGAAACCGAGUCUUAACUGGGCGUUAAGUUGCAGGGUAUAGACCCGAAACCCGGUGAUCUAGCCAUGGGCAGGUUGAAGGUUGGGUAACACUAACUGGAGGACCGAACCGACUAAUGUUGAAAAAUUAGCGGAUGACUUGUGGCUGGGGGUGAAAGGCCAAUCAAACCGGGAGAUAGCUGGUUCUCCCCGAAAGCUAUUUAGGUAGCGCCUCGUGAAUUCAUCUCCGGGGGUAGAGCACUGUUUCGGCAAGGGGGUCAUCCCGACUUACCAACCCGAUGCAAACUGCGAAUACCGGAGAAUGUUAUCACGGGAGACACACGGCGGGUGCUAACGUCCGUCGUGAAGAGGGAAACAACCCAGACCGCCAGCUAAGGUCCCAAAGUCAUGGUUAAGUGGGAAACGAUGUGGGAAGGCCCAGACAGCCAGGAUGUUGGCUUAGAAGCAGCCAUCAUUUAAAGAAAGCGUAAUAGCUCACUGGUCGAGUCGGCCUGCGCGGAAGAUGUAACGGGGCUAAACCAUGCACCGAAGCUGCGGCAGCGACGCUUAUGCGUUGUUGGGUAGGGGAGCGUUCUGUAAGCCUGUGAAGGUGUACUGUGAGGUAUGCUGGAGGUAUCAGAAGUGCGAAUGCUGACAUAAGUAACGAUAAAGCGGGUGAAAAGCCCGCUCGCCGGAAGACCAAGGGUUCCUGUCCAACGUUAAUCGGGGCAGGGUGAGUCGACCCCUAAGGCGAGGCCGAAAGGCGUAGUCGAUGGGAAACAGGUUAAUAUUCCUGUACUUGGUGUUACUGCGAAGGGGGGACGGAGAAGGCUAUGUUGGCCGGGCGACGGUUGUCCCGGUUUAAGCGUGUAGGCUGGUUUUCCAGGCAAAUCCGGAAAAUCAAGGCUGAGGCGUGAUGACGAGGCACUACGGUGCUGAAGCAACAAAUGCCCUGCUUCCAGGAAAAGCCUCUAAGCAUCAGGUAACAUCAAAUCGUACCCCAAACCGACACAGGUGGUCAGGUAGAGAAUACCAAGGCGCUUGAGAGAACUCGGGUGAAGGAACUAGGCAAAAUGGUGCCGUAACUUCGGGAGAAGGCACGCUGAUAUGUAGGUGAGGUCCCUCGCGGAUGGAGCUGAAAUCAGUCGAAGAUACCAGCUGGCUGCAACUGUUUAUUAAAAACACAGCACUGUGCAAACACGAAAGUGGACGUAUACGGUGUGACGCCUGCCCGGUGCCGGAAGGUUAAUUGAUGGGGUUAGCGGUAACGCGAAGCUCUUGAUCGAAGCCCCGGUAAACGGCGGCCGUAACUAUAACGGUCCUAAGGUAGCGAAAUUCCUUGUCGGGUAAGUUCCGACCUGCACGAAUGGCGUAAUGAUGGCCAGGCUGUCUCCACCCGAGACUCAGUGAAAUUGAACUCGCUGUGAAGAUGCAGUGUACCCGCGGCAAGACGGAAAGACCCCGUGAACCUUUACUAUAGCUUGACACUGAACAUUGAGCCUUGAUGUGUAGGAUAGGUGGGAGGCUUUGAAGUGUGGACGCCAGUCUGCAUGGAGCCGACCUUGAAAUACCACCCUUUAAUGUUUGAUGUUCUAACGUUGACCCGUGAUCCGGGUUGCGGACAGUGUCUGGUGGGUAGUUUGACUGGGGCGGUCUCCUCCUAAAGAGUAACGGAGGAGCACGAAGGUUGGCUAAUCCUGGUCGGACAUCAGGAGGUUAGUGCAAUGGCAUAAGCCAGCUUGACUGCGAGCGUGACGGCGCGAGCAGGUGCGAAAGCAGGUCAUAGUGAUCCGGUGGUUCUGAAUGGAAGGGCCAUCGCUCAACGGAUAAAAGGUACUCCGGGGAUAACAGGCUGAUACCGCCCAAGAGUUCAUAUCGACGGCGGUGUUUGGCACCUCGAUGUCGGCUCAUCACAUCCUGGGGCUGAAGUAGGUCCCAAGGGUAUGGCUGUUCGCCAUUUAAAGUGGUACGCGAGCUGGGUUUAGAACGUCGUGAGACAGUUCGGUCCCUAUCUGCCGUGGGCGCUGGAGAACUGAGGGGGGCUGCUCCUAGUACGAGAGGACCGGAGUGGACGCAUCACUGGUGUUCGGGUUGUCAUGCCAAUGGCACUGCCCGGUAGCUAAAUGCGGAAGAGAUAAGUGCUGAAAGCAUCUAAGCACGAAACUUGCCCCGAGAUGAGUUCUCCCUGACUCCUUGAGAGUCCUGAAGGAACGUUGAAGACGACGACGUUGAUAGGCCGGGUGUGUAAGCGCAGCGAUGCGUUGAGCUAACCGGUACUAAUGAACCGUGAGGCUUAACCUU
rnacentral:rRNA from 1 species